rnacentral:rRNA from 1 species
GACAGGGGGUGCAAACGUUGCUCGGAAUUACUGGGCGUAAAGCGCGUGUAGGCGGUCUCGCGAGUCGGGUGUGAAAGCCCGGGGCUCAACCCCGGACGUGCAUUCGAUACUACGAGGCUGGAGUACUGUAGAGGAGAGCGGAAUUCCCGGUGUAGAGGUGAAAUUCGUAGAUAUCGGGAGGAACACCAGUGGCGAAGGCGGCUCUCUGGACAGUGACUGACGCUGAGACGCGAAAGCGUGGGGAGCGAACAGG